rnacentral:lncRNA from 1 species
CCCCCCUUUAAUCAUCUUCAACAAAACCAGAAGAAGCAGCGAACAAAAUUCAGUCGCAUAACACAACCCUUUUGGGGGAGCUUCUUCUUCAAAACAUGACUUAAUCAGACCGAUACACCAUAAGCAACACAAAGACAACUGUUUCCCUCAUCUGAAAAUAAUAUCAAUCAGCCGUGAAAAUUGGUUUUUGUUUUUGGUUCCUUAAGAACAGACAAACUUUUCGUUCCUUCACCUCUCACAAAGAUAAUACCAAAGUUUCUGAAUCUUCAGCUCAAAUCUCGAACUCCUGUUGUUACUGCUUUUUUGUGACUUCGCUUCUUUCCGUGGCUACUAAUUUCAAGCUCAGGCCUGCGCCGUAGGUACAUCCAUCGGAACCUGUUGACUUCAGUUGGUUCGAGAAACUCCGGCUACCUCCAUUAACACCGACAAUAGCUCAGGCCUGCGCUGUAGGUACAUCCAUCGGAACCUGUUGACUUCAGUUGGUUCGAGAAACUCCGGCUACCUCCAUUAACACCGACGAAAUUGCUGAGGUUUUCCGGUCAGGGUCAUGUUGGCGUUUCCCCUCCCGAUUCUGUUAUUCGAUUCCAGCUUUUCUUAGCUCAAGGGUUAUUGUUAUUGUAUAAUGCUCGGCUUGGAUUUCUCUUUAUUUAAUACAUUAAACAUGGCUUUCCACUAGUGAAGGUUCGUUCCCUUCUAUUUUGUCACUCUAUUAAUUUGUCAUCAAUAUGCUGAAUCUGUUCCAUAAUCGAAACUAUUGCAAUAUAAGACCAUGUAUCCGUAGUCUUAAUUUCUUUGUUUUAAUUAUUUAAUCUUGUCUUAUUUUUUAUUUCUAUUAAUUACGUUCUUGAGCAUGCAUAUAAUGUGUUUGUUUAAAGUUCUCAAUGGUGAAUCGUUUUGGUUUAGUGUUGAUUUGCUAAAUACCAG